AUUGACUUGAUUUUCUUAUCUGACGUAAAGAUUUGCGUAAAGAUGAAAAAAUAAAAGUAUAUAAAAAAUUGUAUAUUUAUUGAGUAUUUAAAUAGAAAGUACUACUAUAUAGGUCAAUACUAUAUAUGGUCAAAUUGAAUGACGUAUUUUAAUUCCGGGCUUUAUAAUUUUACGGUUGGUAAUCCUGAUACUUCCCAUGUAUAAUCUCCGCUUAUUACAUAUAUAGGAGGGUGGACUGACUGAGUUGUUUGUGAGUCCAGCAUUUGAGGGGGGCUGUUAUAGAAUGAGUGAAAAAAUUGACAAGAAAGCACACAUAUUACUGUGCAUCUUGGCAAUUGCUUAAUCUUUAUAACAAAUGUCCUUGUUUGAAAUCAUGUCAAGAUAGCUGUAAGAAAUGAAGCAAAUGUAUGGGGUAAAUCUUCUUUGAAAGUUGUUGUUGCCGGUUCGACCGAGCGAAAAAGGCUACGUAAAAUUCAAAGGUUUUGCGACGCCAUUUUGAAAAGCUAAUUAAUACGCCAUUGAUACGCUAUUGGUGCGUCAUUAUAGCCCGUAAAAAGAAAAACAAAACGAAACAAAAGUGUAACAACUGUAAGCGUAAUUGCAAUAUGUAUAUACUAUAUAAAGCGAUAGUAGUAAAUGAUUUAUUGUGAAAAGUUUUUAGAAGGAAAACGCACAACAAUAUCUUGUAAAUAAAAUAUAAAUGAUUAUAUAUGUAAUAGAAAUGUACUGUGCCUACCACGUAUAGAAGGGCUGAAAAGUUCAUAGUCUAGCACGUAGAGUCUAUCACGUAUAGUCUAGCACGCAUAGUCUAGCACGCAUAGUCUAGCACGCAUAGUCUAGCACGCAUAGUCUAGCACACUUUGCAGGUGUGCAAAUUUUGGUCAUGAUUUCUGAAGGAGGUUGCCUCAGGACUUUUUCUUUGCUUACAACAUUUGAAUGUAUACUACAAUAAAUACUUUUCAUCAAA